UCCCCCCUAAGCUGCUUUGGCGUGGUACCUACGCCGCCAUCUUAACCCUGCUUUCUUUUUCUGAUGUAGGGUCUCACUCUACUUCAGGAUGACCUGGAAUUCACUAUGUAGACUUAGGGUGGCCAGAUUAGAAAUAAUGUGCACAGUGAACUCACCUACUCAAUAAAUUCAACAAGCAUUGCUAAAUAAAAAUGGAUGUGGGAAAAUAAGUCAAAAAUAUUAUAGAGAAAUUGAGGGGUAAUCCUUGAGUCUUAUUAAAACUUUAAUUUUUCUUUUUAUUCAUUUGAGAAAGAGACAGAGAGAAGCAAAGAGAGAAUGGGCACAUCAGGGCCUCUAGCCAUCCAAAGGAACUCCAGAUGCAUGCACCCCCUUGUUGUUCUGGCUUACGAGGGUCCUGGGGAGUUGAACCAGGGUCCUUUGGCUUUGCAGGCAAAUGCCUUAACCGCUAAGCCGUCUCUCCAGCCCUGAGUCUUAUUUUUAAUUCCCUGCACCCUCCACGCCAGGGUCUCAUGUAACCUGGGAUGGCCUCAAACUUGCUAUAUGGUCCAGGAUGACCUUGAACUUCUGGUCUUUCCCUGACUCCACUUUCCAAGUGUGUAUGAUCACAGCUAACUUUUUGUGGCUCUAUGCAGUGUUGGGGACCAAACUCAAGGUAUUGUGCAUGAUGGGCAAAUACUGUAGCAACAAAUGAGCUGGGCGCAACACAGGGAGUUAAACCAACUACUUGGAGGGCAAAUUCAUUCUAACACCAAGAGGAAAACAGCUCUUAAUCCUAGACUGCCACCUGCUGGUUAGCAAUGAACUAAAAAUAUCUGGGCGUUUUCAUGUCUCCCAUAAUGGGGGGAAAACUGAUAGAAGUUUAAAUUAUCUCAAAUAAAUAACAUUAUAACAAAUAACAUAAAUUUUGACUAACCCUCCUCCCACCCCCCUUCUCCAUCAUCCCUUCCUCUGACUACACUUUGUUUUCAUGUAUUUUAGACAGAAAAUGGGCCUCCUGCUGCUGCAAGUGAACUCCAGACAUGUACCACUAUGUAGCUGGCUUUAUAUCAGCAUUGGGAAAUGGAACCCAGGCCAACAGACUUUGUGUGCUGGGCAUCAAAGUGAGGACAUGCUGCUCUGGGACCCCAGUGGCAAGAUUGCCCAUAAGAAGCCCCUGUCUGACCGCAUGACCAUCGUGGAACCCAAAGAUGAGAUCCUUCCCACAGCCCCCUUCUCAGCCAUGUCUCAGCCAGUUCCUACAUAAUAGCAAGGUCUUGACCACUGCAGGUGGAGGCUGGAUAUUGCUCUGUAAAGACAUUUAAUAAAAUCUUGCACAAAGAAAAGUAA